GGCUCUUUAGCUCAGUUGGUAGAGCAGUGGCCUGAAGAGCCACGUGUCCCCAGUUCGAGUCUGGGAGGAGCCACCA
rnacentral:tRNA from 2 species